UUUCCGUAGGCGAACCUGCGGAAGGAUCAUUAAUGUACCCGGACUGUUCGGGUGCCGUAAAACGCAUCUGGUCGGAAAGGGAGAUAUCAUACACCCUAUGUUUAUUUACUUUUGUUGCUUUGGCGGGCCGUCCUUUUAGGCAUCGGCCCUGGCUGAUCGUGCCCGCCAGAGGACCUAAACUCUUCUAUCAGUGAUGUCUGAGUACUAUAUAAUAGUUAAAGCUUUCAACAACGGAUCUCUUGGUUCUG
rnacentral:misc_RNA from 1 species